GUGCUUUGGCAUGGCACAGACGUACAGUAGGACCUGACUUGUAAACAGCAAAAGAAAAUGCUAGAGAGGCUGAGGAGGUGACUGCCUGUUAUCUGCUCCACCUUUUCCUCAGCAAUUGUCACUGUGCUGUCAUAAGGUUCAUGAAUGAGUUCCUCUAUGCGGUCUCCAGCCUCCUGGAUAUAUUAGAAAAUCCUCAGGUCCAGCACUGUUGGUAAAUAACCAUGACUGCAGCAGCUCCGAGCUCCCGACAGCCCUGAAACGCAGGAAGCCAUUUCAGUCCCUCAGCUGCCCAGUGAUGCCUGCUCUCUUCUGCACCUGCUAAGAAGUGUGAGAUAUUGUUUUGUUUUCUUUCAUGUUAUCUGAUGUCUGUGUAGUUCCCACUUAUUUCUGGAAAGCUGCACUGCAUUUGAAAAUUGCCAGCUUUUUUACGAAGAACAAUAGUUUUCACAUUAUGCAUGGUUUGUUUUUCAGUCAAAGCCUUCACUCCUGGAAACAAGUCAUUACAGGAGAUGAUUCCUUUAUUUUAGAAAGGAAAAAAACCCUCACAAACAGUUAGCUUUAGUGGUUGAAGUGAAAAAGUCAAAGUCAUGACUUUGAUUUACUUCAAAGGCAAAUUAGAAUAUAAAUAAAAAUAAUCCAGCAUUUAUUUUUUUUAAAGCCCAUAUUCUAGCACAACUUUAAAAAAAAAGGUUCUUUGUCUGCUUUAUAGUCUUUGAACAUUUCUAAUUGGUAAAGUUGAUGUUGAUAGGACAGUGCUAGGUAGAGCCACACACUGCCUGUGUACGGUGGUCUUCAUUUUAACCCUCUCAUCUGUCCAUCCAUCCUAGGGAAGCACACUUGCCUGGGGUAGCCCUGUGGUUUCAUUUCACAGUGCUGAAACUCCGGAUUCAAGAAAAAGAAAUGUACAGAUUGGAAAGAUUCCUGAGGCAAAGAGCGGGGAUAUCUCCUCUUGUAGAAAAGAUUGAGAAAACUUGGAUAGAAAUGUCAUGGAAAAACUGAAGGAAUCUCCAUCAUGAAAGGUUUUAAGAACAAGUUUGACAAACCCCUUUCAGGAAAGACAUUGGGACAGUGAAGCAUUUGGGCAGGGGAUGGACUAAAUGAUGUCUUAAAAUCUUUUUCAGUUCUCUCUCUUUUCAUUUUCUGCUCUUGGCCUUUGUGAAUGAGUUGUGAGUAAAUGACCUUCUGAAUCUGGUAUUCCCCCCCUACCCUCCCUCUGAAGAUAGUACUAAAUCACAGACAAUAAUAAAAUUUAAAUAUAUUAUGUCCAUGUAAUUAAUUUUAUCUACUAAUCAUGUAAGUCGUUAGAGAAGUGAAACUGGUUUUGAUAAUGUGCUGUUUUCCAUAAAACCAUCUUGAUGAACAUUACUUCUGCUUUUGGUUUUAGAUUGUUUAAUACCUUCCUACAUGACCCCAUCUUUUUUGCUGAUCAUCACGUUAUUCCUGUAUUUCUGGUUAUCCUUUGGGAUAAUGGUGUACAAUAGUGAUUUUCCAGUCUUAUGGAAAGUCCUCCAGUGAUCCGAAUUAUAUCAAAUUCAUAUCCACAGACCAGCUUCAUGGCUGGUUCUCUAGCAUUUGUUUGGAGGCAACUGUGCUGGUCUAAGUAAACCUAAUGAAAUUUGUAGAAAAUCUGGGUUUAACUCUGGAAAAAUGGGAUUGUAUACCUGGAGGAUGGGGCUGUUUGUAUGCACACAAAUGGACUGCCAUGUUCAGGAGUAUAUUAAACUCUGUGGUAACAUAGGAACUUAAAACUUCAGUGAAUUGUGUGCUAAUUUACCAGUCCAGCAGAAAAGCAACUUAAAAUUUUGUAUUUCCCAUGACAUCUGUUUUACAAGAAGAGUUAACACUGAUUCAAAACCAGCAAAUUAAAAGAUUUUUAUUUUAUAGAAGUGAUGGUCUUGAAUUUUAGGUGUGAGAAUACCAGAAAAAUAGUUUUCAUUUUCCAUAUUGCUGAAGGGGAUGGCAGAAGUGAAAUAGCAGAGAUCAGUUAUAACAGUUGUUUUGAUUAAAAUGGUAUUUACCUUGCUGCUGUUUCAUCUACCAUCAAUCUUAACUGGAUUAAAAACAAUAUCCAGUGGCAAGUAUUGAUUAUUGAAGUGAUUUUCCAAGUAUGUUUAGUGAGACGAGCAAUCCUAUGUGUACCAUGCUCUCUUUGACAGUAAAAAUUAUAUGAGAAUGCACAGAAUUGCUAAUUACUUUCCUUUUACUAGUGAGCCGGUAUUAAAGGGAAAAAAAAGUAAUUUCUUCUGCCCUGUGUGAUGACUACAAGAAGUCUGUUUCUCAAGAGGACUCAUCACAGUAUUGUAACAAAGGAGCUGUUUGGCAAAAUAAAGUUUCAAGAUAGACCUAUUUACAAUCUGUAAAUCUUCAAGCUGGUUUUCCUCAUCUGAGAGGCUGAAGUCAGAUAUCUUUUAGAGCCAUAUUGAUGCAUUUUUAUAAGUGGAUGUAUUUUAUACAUUCUGAAAACCCACAUACAUUCAGUGAACAUGAACUUUGCUUGCUCAGGUCUUGUGAAAACCAUGGAGAAACUGACCUUUUGUCCUGUGGGAUUUGUGUAGCUAAACCAAUAAUGCAACCGUGUACAUAUGGAUUGGGAUUAGAAAAGAAACUGUGGAAAAAUUCUAGGAUAUUAAUAAAAGGUAACAUUAUUUGA